rnacentral:lncRNA from 1 species
AGAUCUAGGCCCUGGAGCCAGCGCAGGACAGAACGACUCAGGCGGGAGCUCCUAGGCGGAUGUGGAUACACCAGACAUUUCUUUGGCUUCUUUCCUGCGGGAACUGCUGGUGGUGUAUGUGUUUCAUAAUAGGAGAAAGGCCAGUUUCAUAUGGAAUGAGGAAUACAGCACGGCCUGGGCUGCCUGUUGGCUGAGCAAGACUUCACUUGUAGUCUGCAACAGAACGACCUGGAGAAAUAGCUGAGACAACGGGUCAUGAAGACUCCAGACUCUGGGAACAGCUAGAAUACACUUUACAUAGGGAGGACAUCUGACACUAAGAAGUCAGUAAUUCUAUGGAAUCUACUCCUCAUGUGUUCACUGGCCAACAUCUGUCCCAGUUUCGGAUGCAGAGUCGGCACAGUUGGCAAAGAGAGCUUGGGGUAGCUACAAGAAGACAAGAACAUAUUUGUUAAAAACAAAAUUAGUGCUUACACAUGAUAAUUGUAGCUUUCACUCCUCAUCUAAGAAGCUUCUCUUGGGAGCAAAUGGAAACCAUCACAGAAAACCACAACUGGACACAAUAGAGAGAUCCACAGAUGACGAGAAGCCUGGCUCCAAUGGAUCCAACGCCAUCAUAGCUCUGCCACUAUGGCUCAGAAAACAUUGGGGGAGAGAGGGAGAAAAGGCUACAAGAGCUAGAGCACCAGAAAGUCUUCUGUGAAUCCAGUUCUCCUGUAAAUGGCUGCAUGAGCAAGACCACGACAAUGGCAACAUCAGUGGAUGUGCUUAUGUGAAAGGGAGAAAGUAUCACAGGGUCCCAUUCCCAGACAAAGAACUAUGGGUCACAAAUGACUUCUGGGAGAAGGAGAAUCGGCUUCUACUAAGAAUGAACACACUUAUUGGUUUUCCAGUGCGGAGGGGAAAGUGAUAUACAAAUGACUAACCAAAUCAGGUUCUAUCAAGAUACAUAUACACAUACACAUACAUAUGUGUGUAUGUUAAUACAUAUAUACACAUAUAAAUAUAAACACAUAUAUAUAUAUAAAACCUUGGAGAGAGAGAGAGAGCAUAAUAGUCAAGGAAAAUAUCAACUUGAGGAAUAGUUGGAGAAGUUGGAGUGGAGGGAGGGUAUCUGGGAGGGUGGCAGGGAGGAAAGAGGAGGUAGGGGUGAUACAAUACUAUUUUAAUCAAUAAAUAUGUAUUUUAAAAAUAAGAUAUUAGCUUUCACCAUGUCUAUGUCAAGUUGUUUAGCAUAUAUUUAGUACUAAUUUGUUGUAAUGUUAAUUUCUGCCUUUUUAAGUCCUUUGGGUUUUUCUUCCAAUUUAUUUAUUUAUUCACUUUACAUCUCUGGAUCAGCCCCGCUCUGCUCCCAGUACCCUUUUACACAAGAACCCCCAGUUAUGUGCUGGCUUUGAGAUAGACUGUAGCAGAUUUUUCUUCUUCUUCUUUUUUUAGGUUAGGAAUUAUUUAUUGAAUAAAUUAACAGUGGUAACUGU